rnacentral:sRNA from 1 species
CAACCUACCAUGUCAGGACUCUCCGGUCACCCCAUUCUUACAGACUUUGGUCAAAUGAGGUUAGUGGAAGGACGUGCAAAUCAGGAUUGGUGGACGUCUGAUCCAUAUCGGGCCCCGGAAGUGAGUUUACAGCUCCCUGGGGGGUUCCCAGUUGAUAUGUGAUCAAUCGGUGUGAUAACACUCGAACUUUUGGAAGGCAGAAGCCUUUUUUGAUCUGAUAGAUCGUCCCCACGGUCAAUACGUACUUCCAUUGGCUUUGGCACAAUACAUAGGGUAUCUGGGCCUUCCGCCUCUAGAAGUGAUCCGUCAGAGCCCACUCUUCUCGACCUACUUUGAUUCGGAGGGGAAUUGGAUAUCCGAACCCCUGGUAUCCAGCACCAUUUAAUUGGGAUCGUAACGUAACGGGCAUGAAAUGUAACAUGAUCGGCCAAACCUCAAACCGCACCCUCUUGGGGCGGAUCUUCAAGAGCGGCCUCUUGCGUCGCUUAAGUGGUCUGCGGCUGUCUAAUUUCCUGCUGUGAAACCCCUUCAGCAACACUUCGCAUUCGCUUAUCUUUAGGUUCCCAAGAAGGAGGGUAGCGGCUAGCCUCUCCAUUUUGACAAAGUACGUACCAGCGC